CUAAGGUCUCCUUUGAGCUGGUGGUACACGAGCCACGAGAGACGUAUUCUAAUGAACAAUAGCCCAUUACGAGAUCGCUGCGUGAAGUACCCAAUUACAGCCAGGAGAAAUGGCAAUCUCGUAGACAACGAGGGGAACAACAGGUGCAGUGAAAAUUGCCCGCAAAAAUACCACGAGAACUCGGGGACGCUCUUGCCAGAUGACGAAAGAAAUUUACCCGCGAUGGUCGGCAUUCACUUGCUUAUCGGCCGUUCACGCAACGCCGCAUCGGUACCAUUGUAGACCUCGCAAGAGGCAUCGAGGACUUUGUUUCAGCGUGCAACAAUCGCGAGAGGAAAAUGGUACAAAAACUAUCCCAUCGUUCUCGAAAGAGUUUAAGCGAAUGCUCCAUCGCUUUUUUCUUUUUUACGAUACACGGAGGAAGAGAUUUAACGUUUUGAAAGCAAUGUGAACGUAUCGAUGAAAUCUCUAGAAGGAGCGAAAUGAAUAAACGAGUGAAACAACGCCGACAGGAAAGGGAGACACUUUCUUGUUCGCUCGAUGAAAUCGUGCGGCUGGCAUCUUUCUCUUAAAAUUAAGACAAUCGAAGCCUUUCGACGUCCCCCGUCUGUGAAGGCUUUUUUCCAACGGAAACCAGUCCACCCGAAGAUAACCUAUCAACCGGCAAUCUUCGUGUCGUCUUUGAAUCAGAGACAAUGCACGUCAGAGGUUGAGAAGCUGAAGAAAGGGAAGAAUCGCGUGCUUUACCCGCUAGUUGCUCGAAUCGGACGAUUUACUCGUGUGGAAGUAACAUCGGCAAUGCCGUCGCUACUUCUCUCGCUUUUUGGCGUCAUAACAAUUUCUUACAGCGUAAGGUUGACAUUUUCAUUUUCCGUAAAAUACUUUCCACCGAAUAAUUAGUAAUACGUUGCAGCGCUGCAAACAUAUUUCAAGAUAUUUCAAUUUUUGCCUUUUAAUAAAUUCCUCAAGACGAAAUUAGCGAUAAUAAAGAUAAUAAAAGUAAGAGAGAGAGAGAGGAAGAACUCGUGGAAGCGCCUGAAUCGAUAUCUCAAGGAAAAUCUCUAUCGCAGAGGUUGCCGUGUCGCGCGAAAGAGGGACGGAAACGUUGGCUGGCAAUAUGCGUUAACCCCGUUUCACCGUGUCCGCCGCAAAAAGGUCAACAGUCCUUGCAUUCAUUUCCUGACGAGAUCAAAGAGGACGAACCUUUUCACCCGAGAUUUUCUUCGUUUGAAGAACACGCUUUUUUUCCCUCUUUUUGCUAUCAGCUUCAGCGGACGAGGAGCGGCUCGAUGCUCGAGGGGCCCGCUCGCUCGAGAGUUCGGUGUUCUAUAAGCGAGAUUAUCUCGUUCCCAGGAAGACUUCGUCCUCCAUUCAGGCCCAGCAACCACGGAAUAGCUUAAGUAUUUUGAUUCACCGAGUACUCGAGGACCUGAUCAACAAGGCCUAGAAAUACGCGUAUAUGCGUUUUGUCAACGGUUCUCCACCAGCUAUUCGUCGUCUCGAGCUAGAAGAAAAGGAAAAUGAAAUUACCCCCGCGGUGGAUACCAGACGCUUCGCUGAGUCUUUGUAAACGUUGUUUGACCGUCGAUUUCUUCUUCUCUUCUCUUUUUUUAAACUUCUCCACUCGCUUUUUUUCUCUCUCUUAUUCCAGCUUAUUCGUUCUGACAUCUUUCUCUUUCCAUUACGAAUACUAUGAGACGGCUGAACGAACGAUUCCACGGGCACGAACAAGUUCACGGUCGAUUGUUUUUAUUCCCUUUCUUCGGUGCCUCGUUCCUCGGGGAUGGCUCGAGCAGAGGAGGCAUUCGUGAGAAUUAAUCGAGCCGUUCCAUUCGACACGGCGUUUCAGCGUCGAACGAUUCCAAUCCUUUCAAUGGGCGCUCGUCGUUCCAGCAAGCGUAUUUAACAAAAAGCCAACCAGCCAUCGUCGACGCUCCAUACCAUCGAGGGAUGGUUUCCUUGAACGGGGUCGCGUCUCACGGGCCAAGUCAACCGAUCAUGGUACAACGCUCAGAUCUACAACUCGAUUCUCCGGUUGUAUUCACGAACAAUUUAAAUACAGCAGGUACCAAAAUACUCCGCUUCGAAGACUAUAGAGCGAGUAAGCAACGUGGCAGGAUCAUGGAUCGGAAGGUUAAAUGGUGGCUGAUUCGUUCAGCUCCCACCGCAAUGUGCCCAACUCCCUAUGCAUUGACCGCGUGUUCGUGUGUCCCCUAUGAAUGAGUACACGUCCCCCGAACCUUAUAUACACGGACACAAGUGCGACACGUACUCUCACGUAGGAUCCGGCCGCCGGUACAUACGUGCAUACUUACCUAGCUCGAGAGAGGUGCCGAAGGGGUUGGAAGGCAACUGCAACAGCAGCACCACCGGCAGCACCGAUGUUGCUGCUGUUUGCAAAGCGGUGUAUUAUACUGUCAGCCAUGCUGGGGAUUAGCAAACGCAAUACAUCGGGCUUCGCGAUCGUGCUGCGCAUCUGUUCGCCAAUUCAGGAUCCUCCCGUCUCUCCUCCCCUUUCCUGGCUCCUUCUGACCGUCGCUCUCUGUUCGAUACGGGAACCCUUUCCCUCCGUUCUCCAUUCCAGAGCCAUGGGUCUCUCCAACGUCGGUCGUACCGCUCGCUAUGCACUGCCUCGUGGCUCUCUACCUACAAGAGCUGCAUCGCAAUUGAUCCACGUUGCACGGUUACGGGCGUGCACGAUCUGCAAAUAACACGAAAACCAUCGUAGCCGAAGGCGUCGUCCUCCGGUACUAUUAUAAUAAGCGCUGUCUGCGAUCCUCACGACUCGCGCGGCCACGCCGCCCAUUGUUAUUACAUAACGCGUUACACGCCUCCUUCGGGGGAAUGUCAAGGAUUUCGGCAAGCAUAUUAACGCGCCUGCUUCGAUAUUAAUUACCAUUUCGAUGCGUUCCAAGAGAUCGCAUUUUUUAUGCGAGAAUCGAUAGAAAGCGUCGAUGACUCGUGGAUUUUACGAUCUGGAGGCUUUCGUGUAAAUGAUAAUAGCAAAGAAGACUGAAAUUUACCAUUUGAUAUGAUGUUGUAUAUUGUGUGAUCGUAACGUGGGACGGUGGACAGAGAGAAUUUGAAAAGUAGGUGGUAGAAAAGAUAUACUAGGUAUGUAAAUAUGAAACCGGAGUUUUUGUAUAGAAAAUACACGUUUAUCGUAUGAA